rnacentral:rRNA from 1 species
GAUGAACGCUGACAGAAUGCUUAACACAUGCAAGUCGAACGAGACCUUCGGGUCUAGUGGCGCACGGGUGCGUAACGCGUGGGAAUCUGCCCUUGGGUUCGGAAUAACUCGCCGAAAGGCGUGCUAAUACCGGAUGAUGUCGUAAGACCAAAGAUUUAUCGCCCAGGGAUGAGCCCGCGUAAGAUUAGGUAGUUGGUGAGGUAAAGGCUCACCAAGCCGACGAUCAGUAGCCGGCCUGAGAGGGUGACCGGCCACAUUGGGACUGAGACACGGCCCAA